AGAGUGAACGCUGGCGGUAGGCCUAACACAUGCAAGUCGAACGGCAGCACAGUAGGAGCUUGCUCUUACGGGUGGCGAGUGGCGGACGGGUGAGGAAUACAUCGGAAUCUACCUUUUGGUGGGGGAUAACGUAGGGAAACUUACGCUAAUACCGCAUACGCCCUUCGGGGGAAAGCCGGGGACCAGCAAUGGCCUGGUGCUGAUAGAUGAGCCGAUGUCGGAUUAGCUAGUUGGUGAGGUAAUGGCUCACCAAGGCGACGAUCCGUAGCUGGUCUGAGAGGAUGAUCAGCCACACUGGAACUGAGACACGGUCCAGACUCCUACGGGAGCAGCAGUGGGGAAUAGUUGGACAAGUGGGCGCAAGCCUGAUCCAGCCA
rnacentral:rRNA from 1 species